rnacentral:rRNA from 1 species
UACGUAGGGUGCAAGCGUUUAUCCGGAAUUAUUGGGCGUAAAGGCUCGUAGGCGGUUUGUCGCGUCUGCUGUGAAAACUGGGGGGCUCAACCCCCCAGCCUGCAGUGGGUACGGGCAGACUUGAGUACUGCAGGGGAGACUGGAAUUCCUGGUGUAGCGGUGGAAUGCGCAGAUAUCAGGAGGAACACCGGUGGCGAAGGCGGGGUCUCUGGGGCCACUACUGACGCUGAGAAGCGAAAGCAUGGGGAGCAAACAGG